rnacentral:lncRNA from 1 species
GGGACACAAAACCAAUAAUAUCUAAAAUGUAGCGGAGAGCAUUUUGACGCCAUGUAUUUCAUCAAUAAUUUAUCCACUGCCAUGUCCACCAGGGCGGCAUGCAUGCAGUUGAAACCAAGUUGAUGAGUACUGAAUGUUGUCUUCGUGGCUUGCACUUGUUUGAAUUUUCCAAAUCUGUGUUUUUCUCAUGGAAGCAAUUUUCUGUAUUGGAGAAGUUGCAGACAAGUCAAAUGUGCAGAAGAAGACAAAGCAUUAAAACCAAAAAGCUGUUGCGGAAAGGAUCGAUUCGAG